rnacentral:lncRNA from 1 species
AAAAAAUAAAAAAACAAAUACAACCUCCCACUGCUAAAGUAGUUCCCAGAGUCUGUGCGCUGGGGGCUCAGAAUUUGUUCAGGUGUUAUACAUUUAGUUAAUAAUGCCAGUACACACAACAAAAUGCACAUGUGAAAGUUAUGGUUUAAUUGGAAAGCAUGUAGCAUUACUUAACUAGGCCUCCUGGGUUAUGGUAAGAGAAGCACCAUGUGUGGCUUAGUUUUUUUAAAAAUCGUAAUUAAAAAAAGAGCUAUAGCAAAGUUCAGCCAACUCUCAGAGUCAAUGCUUGGCCUUUCCAGUGGGCGCCAACUAUAUCUUUGAUAAUUAAAUAGAAAACUGGUCUCCCUGCAGCACUAAUGCAGUCACACACUGUUCUCAAGAGAACUUCCUUACCACUCAGCAGCUAUUUGAUUUACAAACUCUUCCGGGUGCAUUUAAUCUAAUUCAUGUUUCUUUUGGCUCUCAGCCAACUUUUUUUUUACCCACAAACUUGAACAGAUACAUUUUCUACCUAUUUAGAAAUGACCUUCUGUUCACCAACAAAAACCUAAUUAAACAAUGGUUCAAUAUGAAAGCUCAGAAGUGGAGCAACAAUCUUGGUCUCCAUUGUUGCCAUCAGCUUAUUGGGUUGGAAUCGCUCGCUAAGGCAUGACUGUUUUUGAGAUAUUUACCACCUGUGGAAUAGGACUUUUAUCAGCAGUAUUGGAGUGAGUAGACUUUUCUGAAGAAAAAGUGUGGUGAAUGAAUGGAAACCCUUCAAGAAGAAUUACAGAGAGCCACAGAGAGCCAGUUUUCAACAAUUGUCACCUUAUGGAUGAAGGCAAAUUGUAAAAAGAUCUACGAAGCAAAAAUUUCCAACAUGACAAUAUUAUACCACUAAAAUUAUACUGGAAACUACUGUUAACAAAUAAUCAAAAGUGAUUCCCAUUCUUGGGUCUCACUCUAAGGGGAGUGAUAAUCAGGAGCAAAAUAAUCACAUAGUAAUAAGAAAGAGAGAGAAUAAGAGGUUUAAGAAGUGGUAAUGGUCCAAAUUCCUGUUUACCAUUUUCAAAACUGUAAUCAUACGUUGUCUUCAUUAAAACGCUAAAUAUCUGAGGCUUUAUUCGGUUAAAAAACCCCGUUAAUUUAAAAUAGUCAUUUGGUAUGAUAUAUUCGGUAAUAGUAUUCAUUCAAUAACAAAUAUUUGCUGUGUGCCUGGCACUGUACAAAACGAGGGGAUACAGAAAAAGGCAAAGGCAGUCCUUGCUCUCAGGGAACUCAUAGUCUAUUGGGGGAGACCAUACGCAAACAGCUUUGCGCAAACAAAAUAGAGAGGUGGCUCAGUGGAUAGAGUGCUAGACCUGUAGUCAGGAAGACCCGAGUUCAAAUCCAACCUCAAAUACUUACUAGCUGUAUAACACUGGGCAAGUGACAACCUCUGUUUGCCUUAAUCCAGG